rnacentral:rRNA from 1 species
UACGAAGGGGGCUAGCGUUGUUCGGAAUCACUGGGCGUAAAGGGCGCGUAGGCGGCUGUUCAAGUCGGGGGUGAAAUCCCGUGGCUCAACCACGGAAUGGCCUUCGAUACUGGACGGCUGGAGACCGGAAGAGGUGAGUGGAACUGCGAGUGUAGAGGUGAAAUUCGUAGAUAUUCGCAAGAACACCAGUGGCGAAGGCGGCUCACUGGUCCGGUACUGACGCUGAGGUGCGAAAGCGUGGGGAGCAAACAGG